AUACAUUCUGAACAGAUCUGCACAGCUAACACGCGCGUCGGCUACUCCUGGGUAUUAUAGAAAGGAUCGAUGCUCAUAUUACGUUGCACAAGCUUAUACAAGAUGAAGGGCCAGCUAGUAGCGUAUCUGUUCUUUGUGAUACUUGUUGAACUGCGCGGAGAUUCUGACGUCUGGCUUCGCCUUCCUAGGCGUGGGAUUUCGCGCAGAAUCCGGAACCAGAUUCAAAAAUUGGCAGAAUCGACUGAUGUUCCGAACGUUCAGUAUAGAAUCAUUGGAGGUGAGGACGCCGAGAUAUGCGAAGCUCCAUAUACGGU